rnacentral:rRNA from 1 species
GCUAUCUGCGGGCCAGGAGCGUCGGUAAUACGUAGGGUGCAAGGUUUAUCCGGAAUCCCUGGGCGUAAAGCGUGGGUAGGUGGGAAUUUAAGUGAGAUGUUAAAUCGUGUGGCUCAACCAUAUCGUUGCAUUUCAUACUGGGUUCCUAGAGGACGGCAGAGGCAAGUGGAACUAGCAGUGUAGCAGUGAAAUGCGUAGAUAUUGCUAAGAACACCAAUGGCGAAGGCAGCUUGCUGGGCCGACCCUGACACUGAGGUACGAAAGCGUGGGGAGCGAACAGGAUUAGAUACCCCAGUAGUC